rfam:Oryza glumipatula chromosome 10, whole genome shotgun sequence.
AAAGAGCGUAGUUUUGACUGUGUAUGUUUAACGUAUGACCGUCUGUUUUAUUUGAAAAAUAUUAUGAUUAGUAUUUUUAUUGUUAGUAGAAAAUAAAACAUGAAUAAAUACUUUAUGUGUAACUAAAUAUUUUUAUUUUGUAAUAAAUUUUUAAAUAAAAGGUCAAAUGUUGGACACGAAAAUACACAACCAUACCUAAA